AGUGAACGCUGGCGGCGUGCCUAACACAUGCAAGUCGAGCGAACGGACGGUAAGCUCUUGCUCCUGCGGUUGGCGGCUGGCGGGUGGGUAACACGUGCAUCGCCUUCCUCUUAUUCUUGGAUGAUUUCGUGAGACCGCUUCUGCUACCACAGCAUAUUUCGAACCGCUUGGUUCAAAAGUGCAAGACGGUUUUCCUGUUUCUUUUAGCUGGUUCCGCGCUGGAUUAUCUAGUUGGUAAGGUAACAGCAUACCAAGGCAACGAUGCAUAGCCGACCUGAGAGGGUGAUCGGCCACACUGGAACUGAGACACGGCCCAGACUCCUACGGGAGGCAGCAGUGGGGAAUCUUGGACAAUGGGCGAAAGCCUGACGCAGCAAUGCCGCGUGAGUGAAGAAGGCCUUCGGAUCGUAAAACUCUUUUGUUAGGGAAGAAAAGCAGUAUAUGCAAAUGCCGCUAUACUGACGGUACCUAAUGAGAAAGCCCCGGCUAACUACGUG
rnacentral:rRNA from 1 species